UAUCAGUGCCUCAGUGGUGUUCAAAAAUUGGCUUCGAAUUUCACAUGAUUCGCAUGUAGAUGUGUUGCAUGAAUGCAAGACUGAAGAAAAAGAAAAGAACCCUCGUAAGCUUUCCUGGAAAUACCUACCUGUACUGAUGGCGUUCUUUAUCUUAAUGCUAUGCAAUUUCCUGUUUGUGAUCAUGAGAAGAACAUCAGACGAUCAAGGGACUUAUGUUCUACCUUGGAGACAUAAAGCGCAUAUUACCGAUAUGAAAAUUCAAAGUCUGAAAUACUUUCAAAACUUCAAAAACCCAAACUGCAUCAAAGUAACAGAGCGGAUUCAUACCAUGAUUAAUAUAAGGAUGGAUCAAUAUCCAAAUGAAAUCGGUGCAGCAUCUGCAAGAUCUCAGAUUCUUGGCAAAUUCCGAAGAUUUACACAGAACAUGCUACCAGAAAUGAUUUAUA